GAGCAGUGAUGAAUAUCCAAUUGUGACCGAAGAUGCUUGUUGUCUGUGAUGGUACACAACCCUCUAAGAAGUUCUUAGCUC